UUUAAGUCUCCGUUAACAUUAAAUUUUUAAAAUUUUUCUGUUUUUCUUUCUCUUUUCUCUUUCAUGUUCCUUUGUUCUUUCUCCUUCUCCUUCCCAAAAUCUCAGGGAGUCUGCAAAUCAAAUUUUUUUUCCUUAUUUUUUUUUUCUUUUUUUUUUCCCUUUUCCUUUAUUCUGCUUCCUUCCCCUUCUUUCCAUGGAUCCUUAAAUUCGAACAAAAAAUUAAAAAAAAUGGGUUUUCUCUCUCCUCCUCCAUGGUUGCGAAUUAAGGGUUUUUUGGUUGCGAAUUUUCUGCUAAUUAUGAGUGUUUUUUUUGUUGUGAAUCAUCUGCAAAUUAAGGGGUGUUUCUCUUCGAUUUUUGUAGAUAAUAUUUCUCAAUUUUGGGUGAUUUUUUGGGUCGAUAUUUUGGGUUGAUUUUUUGGGUUUGGAAGAAAAUAAGAGGAAGAGUUCAUUGUGAGCAGCCAUGGUAGUCUCCCCCAAUCACAUUGCAGGCUCCACCACCGUCGUCGCCCGUGUAGGUUGGAGAUGGGAACAGGAGAGAGAAAUUGGGCGAGAGUGAGAAAGAAAAAGGGGCGGGUUUUGCGAAUUGGAGGAGAGACGGUUAAUUAGGGAUAGGAUGGUGAUGGUCAUUGCUUCCAUGGUGGUUUGAGAUGAGAAAGAAGAUGAUGAUGAUGAAGAUGUCGUAUCAAAAUUACAAAGGUGAAGAUGAAGACAAAUGAAGAAGCAAGCAAGCAGAAUAGCAGAUUCACAUUUUGGGGUCAAUUUUUUUUGUUUUUUUAAUAGCUAAUUAGAUUAUUUUAGGGGCUUAAUUUUUUUAGAUAAUA